rnacentral:rRNA from 1 species
CAUGCAAGUCGAACGCUUCUUUUUCCACCGGAGCUUGCUCCACCGGAAAAAGAGGAGUGGCGAACGGGUGAGUAACACGUGGGUAACCUGCCCAUCAGAAGGGGAUAACACUUGGAAACAGGUGCUAAUACCGUAUAACAAUCGAAACCGCAUGGUUUUGAUUUGAAAGGCGCUUUCGGGUGUCGCUGAUGGAUGGACCCGCGGUGCAUUAGCUAGUUGGUGAGGUAACGGCUCACCAAGGCGACGAUGCAUAGCCGACCUGAGAGGGUGAUCGGCCACAUUGGGACUGAGACACGGCCCAAACUCCUACGGGAGGCAGCAGUAGGGAAUCUUCGGCAAUGGACGAAAGUCUGACCGAGCAACGCCGCGUGAGUGAAGAAGGUUUUCGGAUCGUAAAACUCUGUUGUUAGAGAAGAACAAGGAUGAGAGUAACUGUUCAUCCCUUGACGGUAUCUAACCAGAAAGCCACGGCUAACUACGUGCCAGCAGCCGCGGUAAUACGUAGGUGGCAAGCGUUGUCCGGAUUUAUUGGGCGUAAAGCGAGCGCAGGCGGUUUCUUAAGUCUGAUGUGAAAGCCCCCGGCUCAACCGGGGAGGGUCAUUGGAAACUGGGAGACUUGAGUGCAGAAGAGGAGAGUGGAAUUCCAUGUGUAGCGGUGAAAUGCGUAGAUAUAUGGAGGAACACCAGUGGCGAAGGCGGCUCUCUGGUCUGUAACUGACGCUGAGGCUCGAAAGCGUGGGGAGCAAACAGGAUUAGAUACCCUGGUAGUCCACGCCGUAAACGAUGAGUGCUAAGUGUUGGAGGGUUUCCGCCCUUCAGUGCUGCAGCUAACGCAUUAAGCACUCCGCCUGGGGAGUACGACCG